AACGAACGCUGGCGGCAGGCCUAACACAUGCAAGUCGAGCGAGGACUCCGGUCCUAGCGGCGGACGGGUGUGUCACGCGUGGGAACGUGCCCUUUGCCUCGGAAUAGCCCUGGGAAACUGGGAGUAAUACCGGAUGAGCCCCUCGGGUGAAAGAUGCAACGGCGUAGGAUCGGCCCGCGUUGGAUUAGGCUGUUGGUGGGGUAAUGGCCUACCAAGCCGACGAUCCAUAGCUGGGUAGAGAGGAUGGUCAGCCACACUGGGACUGUGACACGGCCCAGACUCCUACGGGAGGCAGCAGUGGGGAAUCUUAGACAAUGGGGGAAACCCUGAUCGAGCCAUGGCGCGUGAGCGAUGAAGGCCUUAGAGAUGUAAAGCUCUUUCAGCUGGGAAGAUAAUGACGGUACCAGCAGAAGAAGCCCCGGCUAACUCCGUG
rnacentral:rRNA from 1 species